UAGCAUAUCAAUAAGCGGAGGAAAAGAAACUAACAAGGAUUCCCCUAGUAACUGCGAGUGAAGCGGGAARAGCUCAAAUUUAAAAUCUGGUAGUUUCACUGCCCGAGUUGUAAUCUAGAGAAGCGUUAUCCGCGCUGGACCGUGUAUAAGUCUCCUGGAAUGGAGCGUCAUAGAGGGUGAGAAUCCCGUCUUUGACACGGACUACCAGGGCUUUGUGAUGCGCUCUCAAAGAGUCGAGUUGUUUGGGAAUGCAGCUCUAAAUGGGUGGUAAAUUCCAUCUAAAGCUAAAUAUUGGCGAGAGACCGAUAGCGAACAAGUACCGUGAGGGAAAGAUGAAAAGAACUUUGGAAAGAGAGUUAAACAGUACGUGAAAUUGUUGAAAGGGAAACGCUUGAAGUCAGUCGCGUCAGCUAGGAAUCAGCCUUGCUUUUGCUUGGUGUACUUUCUGGUUGACGGGUCAGCAUCAGUUUUGAUCGGUGGAAAAAGGCCAGCGGAAUGUGGCACCUUCGGGUGUGUUAUAGCUGCUGGUUGUAUACAUCGGUUGGGACUGAGGAACUAGCACUCUGUGUUUUAGAUGCUGGCAUAAUGGCUUUAAUCGACCCGUCUUGAAACACGGACCAAGGAGUCUAACAUGCCUGCGAGUGUUUGGGUGGAAAACCCGAGCGCGUAAUGAAAGUGAAAGUUGAGAUCCCUGUCGUGGGGAGCAUCGACGCCCGGACCAGACCUUUUGUGACGGAUCCGCGGUAGAGCAUGUAUGUUGGGACCCGAAAGAUGGUGAACUAUGCCUGAAUAGGGUGAAGCCAGAGGAAACUCUGGUGGAGGCUCGUAGCGAUUCUGACGUGCAAAUCGAUCGUCAAAUUUGGGUAUAGGGGCGAAAGACUAAUCGAACCAUCUAGUAGCUGGUUCCUGC
rnacentral:rRNA from 1 species